UCUGUCAUUAGAGGCUUAAUAUUGUUAGCAGACGCUAGGUUCGAUUCCUGCUGAGAACAAUUUUCUCGACAUUUUCCUACAGUUCAUUACCUCUCCGUCCGCUAGAAACCUCUUCCCUCUUUUCUCUCGGUUUCAUUCUUCUCGAUUGAAAUCUCCUCCCUCUUCUUUGUUCUUGAUUUUUACCAUCUUCAUCAAUUCCACACGCUAACAUGAUAUGAUUGAAUUGAUUCCAAAUUGUUUCACAGAAAUCUCACAGUAACAAAUACCCCAGAAGUUCAAAUGAAACCCAAAAUUUUGAGAGAGUUUGAAAAAUGGGAUGAACUGAUAGAAUUAAGUUUACAGUCAAUUUGGAAACUUACUUCUUCGAAUACAGAAAAGUAGGAAAUCUCAUUUCUGGGUUAGGGCUUCCCGUUUAAGUUAGGGUUUCCCAAGCUUUUCUCUCCACUUCAAAGGGCUUCACGAUACUCAUAGUCUUCUACUAAAUCGGACCAUCCUGUUGCCUGGGGCCAGCGAGUAGAUCCAAGUCAAUGGGGUGAUGCUUAUUAUGGUUAGGGACAAGGGUAUGAUGCUUAUGCUUGUGGUGCUGCUCGAGAUCCAUCUUUGUAUGCUUAUGGUGGAUACGUAGGGUAACGGAUUUCACUUAUGGUGUGUUGUGAUGAACAUCAGUAACGUAUUCAUUUAGCUGCUGUUAUAAAGGUGGAGACAAUUACGGUAUCAACUGAACUUUCUCUUGAGCAAAUUCUUUUCAUCUUCUUCUGGGUGAUUAUGGGACUUCGAUUAAAAUAAUUUGAUUUGCUGACCAUAAUAAAGGAAUGAUUUGAUUUACAGUAA